rnacentral:rRNA from 1 species
CCUACGGGUGGCAGCAGUGAGGCAUAUUGGUCAAUGGACGAGAGUCUGAACCAGCCAAGUAGCGUGAAGGAUGACUGCCCUAUGGGUUGUAAACUUCUUUUAUAUGGGAAUAAAAUGUUCCACGUGUGGGAUUUUGUAUGUACCAUAUGAAUAAGGAUCGGCUAACUCCGUGCCAGCAGCCGCGGUAAUACGGAGGAUCCGAGCGUUAUCCGGAUUUAUUGGGUUUAAAGGGAGCGUAGGUGGAUUGUUAAGUCAGUUGUGAAAGUUUGCGGCUCAACCGUAAAAUUGCAGUUGAAACUGGCAGUCUUGAGUACAGGAGAGGUGGGCGGAAUUCGUGGUGUAGCGGUGAAAUGCUUAGAUAUCACGAAGAACUCCGAUUGCGAAGGCAGUUCACUGGACUGCAACUGACACUGAGGCUCGAAAGUGUGGGUAUCAAACAGGAUUAGAUACCCCAGUAGUC